GUUAGGAAUAUUGGACAAUGGGCGCAAGCCUGAUCCAGCCAUGCCGCGUGAACGAUGAAGGCCUUCGGGUUGUAAAGUUCUUUAGCCGAUGAUUAUAAUGACUGUAGUCGGAAAAUAAGCCCCGGCUAACUUCGUGCCAGCAGCCGCGGUAAUACGAAGGGGGCGAGCGUUAUUCGGAAUCACUGGGCGUAAAGCGUGCGUAGGCGGUUUUGUAAGUUAGGAGUGAAAGCCCAGGGCUCAACCUUGGAAUUGCUCUUAAAACUGCAAGGCUCGAAUCUCGGAGAGGAUAGCGGAAUUUCCAGUGUAGCAGUGAAAUGCGUAGAUAUUGGAAGGAACACCAGUGGCGUAAGCGGCUAUCUGGACGAGUAUUGACGCUGAGGCACGAAAGCGUGGGGAUCAAACAGGAUUAGAUACCCUAGUAGUCC
rnacentral:rRNA from 1 species